rnacentral:tRNA from 3 species
GGAGAGGUGGCCGAGCGGUCGAAGGCGCUUGCUUGGAAAGCAAGUGUACGGUAACCCCGUACCGCGGGUUCGAAUCCCGCCCUCUCCGCCA